rnacentral:rRNA from 1 species
UUCUGUGAGGAUUGACAGAUUGAGAGCUAUUUCUUAUUUCGGUGGAUGGUGGUGCAUGUCCGUGCUUAGUUGGUGGAGUGAUGUGUCUGGUUAAUUCCGACAACGGACGAGACCCUAGCCUAUUAAAUAGGUGCGUGGUUCUCUGCACCUUGCACCCUUCUUAGAGGGACAAGCGGCUCCCAGCCGCACGAAACAGGCAAUAAAAGGCCUGUGAUGCCCUUCG